rnacentral:rRNA from 1 species
GUUAAACGGCUGCAGUACUCUGACUGUGCAAAGGUAGCAUGAUCAAUUGUCUGGUAAUUCCAGUCUGGUAUGAAUGGUUAGACGAUAGGAACGCUGUCUCUUUCCUCUAGUGUUGAAAUUAAUUUUUAGGUGCGAAGCCUGAAUUUUUUAGUGGGACGAGAAGACCCUAUAGAGCUUUAACUCAAGCUAUAAAAUUUUGUGGUGAGUGUUUUAGUUGGGGCAACUGCUUGUGUGAUUAGACACUAGCUUUCAAGAAGAAAUUAGUUUAUUAGACCCUAAAGUUUUUAGGUAAUAGGAAAAAGUUACCUUAGGGAUAACAGCGUAAUUUCCCUUAAGAGUUCUUAUUAACAGGGAAGUUUGCGACCUCGAUGUUGGAUCAGGUUUACCUGGAGGUGCAGCCGCUUUCAAGGGUUGGUUUGUUCAACCAUUAAAAACUUACGUGAUCU